rnacentral:rRNA from 1 species
UACGGAGGGUGCAAGCGUUAUCCGGAUUCACUGGGUUUAAAGGGUGCGUAGGAGGGCAGGUAAGUCAGUGGUGAAAUCUCCAAGCUUAACUUGGAAACUGCCGUUGAUACUAUCUGUCUUGAAUAUUUGUGGAGGUGAGCGGAAUAUGUCAUGUAGCGGUGAAAUGACUUAGAUAUGACAUAGAACACCAAUUGCGAAGGCAGCUCACUACUCAAUCAUUGACUCUGAGGCACGAAAGCGUGGGGAUCAAACAGG